rnacentral:rRNA from 1 species
AUGCUAGUUGAGGUGCAUACAAAACCUGCUAAGAAAUCUACCGCGAAGAGAGCUAACAAGCCUACUAAGGAACCAGCUGCUAAGAAACCUAAGAAGGCACCUGUUGAGAAGGCACCUAAAAUCCUAAAAUCAGCUAUGGAUGAUGUACUAUGCAGUGCUACAUCAUCUGUGGUUGUGGACAAUGCGAAUGAGGAAGCACUUGAGGUUGUUCAAUCAAUGGUGAGUCAAACAAGUGCUUUUGUUGACAAUGAUAUUAACUUUGCAACAUGUGAUGUUGUUCAACCCAAUAUGCCAUCAAUUUCUGACAUUGCUGAAAGCAAUGAGCAAUGCGGGUCUUCGGUGGUGUUGGACAUAGAACCACCAAUUGAUUGGAGCCUAAUUGAGAUUGCUCCUCCAAAUGAAGAUGAAGUGGAUGUUCCAGUUACAGAGGAGAAUAUGUGUGAUUUUCUAGGUAUCGAGGAGGAUGAGACACAUGAAGCACCUUCUUCGCCACCUAGUGAAGAUGCGUAUCUCACUGAUGAGGAGGACCAACAACUAUUAACUGAGACUGCUAUUCCUGUUGAUGACAAGAUAGCUCAAGAGGAGGAGAUUGCAUAUGACAAAGAGAACCCUCAUAUGUAUGUAGGUGCCUUGUUUCCUUCAAUGGAAGAGUUCAGGAUGGCAAUAAAACAAUAUGCCAUUAACAAUGAAAUUGACAUAUGGGGAUAUAAAACAGACAAAAAAAGAUAUCUCGGACUAUGCAGAGGCAUCAAGUGUCCAUGGAGAAUAACUGCUCGUUUAAGGGCUGAUGCGAAAACAAUAAGGGUCACUAAGAUG